AUUCUAUAGCAGAAUUGGAUCUUUUUUUUCAAGCAAUAAAAUUAAAACAGCAAAAGUAUUUCUAUAUAUGAAAGGGACAUCUUGAUCUGUUCUUGGAGCCUUAGAGGGGAGAGAGGAGCUGGAGUCUGUUGAGGAGUGGUGCUGGGAGGUAGCAGACGAGCACCAUGCCCUCAUCCAACAACCUUAGGGAAGGAGAUAAGGUGUUGCUGGAGAGUGGAGAGGAGGGAUUGCAGCACUCUCUAUUCCACCCAGGUCUUGCAAAAGCACCUUGGGAGGUACUACUCCCAUGCUGUUCAAGACAUUGU